UACGAAGGGGGCUAGCGUUGCUCGGAAUCACUGGGCGUAAAGCGCACGUAGGCGGCUUUUUAAGUUAGGGGUGAAAUCCUGGAGCUCAACUCCAGAACUGCCUUUGAUACUGGGAAGCUUGAGUCCGGAAGAGGUGAGUGGAACUCCGAGUGUAGAGGUGAAAUUCGUAGAUAUUCGGAAGAACACCAGUGGCGAAGGCGGCUCACUGGUCCGGUACUGACGCUGAGGUGCGAAAGCUAGGGUAGCAAACGGG
rnacentral:rRNA from 1 species